UUACGGCCAUAUUACGUUGAAUCACUGGUUGACGUACGAUCACGGAAGUUAAGCAACGUCGAGACUGGUUAGUAUUUAGAUGAGUGACUUGGGAAUGCCAGUUGCUGUAA